rnacentral:rRNA from 1 species
CCUACGGGUGGCAGCAGUAGGGAAUUUUGCGCAAUGGGGGAAACCCUGAUGCAGCAACGCCGCGUGAUCGAUGAAGCACUUCGGGGUGUAAAGAUCUGUCAGCAGGGACGAAAACUGACGGUACCCACUGAGGAAGCACCGGCUAAAUCCGUGCCAGCAGCCGCGGCAAAACGGGGGGUGCAAGCGUCGUCCGGAAUCAUUGGGCGUAAAGUGUUCGUAGGUGGCACUGUAAGUCUGGUGUUAAAGGCGUAGGCUCAACUUCCGUAGGGCACUGGAUACUGGCGAGCUUGAGUGCGGUAGAGGUAAAGGGAAUUCCUGGUGUAGCGGUGAAAUGCGUAGAUAUCAGGAGGAACAUCAGUGGCGAAGGCGCUUUACUGGGCCGUAAUUGACGCUGAGGAACGAAAGCCGGGGGAGCAAAUGGGAUUAGAUACCCCAGUAGUC